CCUACGGGGGGCAGCAGUGGGGAAUAUUGGGCAAUGGGCGCAAGCCUGACCCAGCAACGCCGCGUGAAGGAAGAAGGCCCUCGGGUUGUAAACUUCUUUUGUCAGGGACGAAACAAAUGACGGUACCUGACGAAUAAGCCACGGCUAACUACGUGCCAGCAGCCGCGGUAAUACGUAGGUGGCAAGGGUUAUCCGGAUUUACGGGGUGUAAAGGGCGUGUAGGGGGGAGAGCAAGUCAGAUGUGAAAUUCCAGGGCUCAACCCUGGAACGGUAUUUGAAACUGUUUGUCUUGAGUGAUGGAGAGGCAGGCGGAAUUCCGAGUGUAGCGGUGAAAUGCGUAGAUAUACGGAGGAACACCAGUGGCGAAGGCGGCCUGCUGGACAUUAACUGACGCUGAGGCGCGAAAGCGUGGGGAGCAAACAGGAUUAGAUACCCCGGUAGUC
rnacentral:rRNA from 1 species